UUCUACAGCCAUAUCACCCUGCAGCCCAAGACUGGUUGCCCACUGAAGCUAAGCAGGGUUGAGCCUGGUCAGUACCUGGAUGGGAGACCUCCUGGGAAAACUAGUUUGCUGUUGGAA
rnacentral:rRNA from 1 species